rnacentral:rRNA from 1 species
UACGAAGGGGGCGAGCGUUGUUCGGAUUUACUGGGCGUAAAGGGCGCGCAGGCGGCUCAUUUUGUCAGGCGUGAAAGCCCCGGGCUUAACCUGGGAACUGCGUUUGAUACGGAUGGGCUAGAGUUCGGGAGAGGAGAGUGGAAUUCCCAGUGUAGAGGUGAAAUUCGUAGAUAUUGGGAAGAACACCGGUGGCGAAGGCAGCUCGCUGGGACGUGACUGACGCUGAGACGCGAAAGCGUGGGGAGCGAACAGG